rnacentral:lncRNA from 1 species
CUCUCUACAUAGUAUACUCUUAUGCUCACUUCAAGAAAUUAUGAUUUUUAAUUUUAUAUCGAUAUGAAAAAUUUUUUAAACAUAAAAUAAUAUGGUAAGAUGGUACUUACUCAAUAAAAUCUUCAAUUUUUUCAUAAUUAUUUAGAACGUAAAAGUUUAUCUUGGAUAGCUCGUUCACAUCCAUAAAUUCAUAUCUCUUUACACCAAU